CCGCCUCGUUCAUUCAAUCAUCGCCCGGACGAAAAACCUCCAAAAACCCCAGCGGAAAACGAAGGCGGCCGGCGGAGCGCAUCCGCGCGACCGUAGCCAUCGCCCAUCGGCAGCAGCGUCAGGACCCGGACGCCGGAGGCGGAGGUGAUGGAGAGCAAGGAGAACGCCGCGCACUCGGCGCCGCCUCUUCGGCAGUCGCGCGGGAAGCGCAAGGCCCUGGCGGAGCUGCCGGCCAACGAGUGGCGGGACACGAACGGCGGCUCGGCGCCGCGGCCGUCGAAGCCGAGGACGCGGUCGGCGGCGCGGGCGGAGGCCGAGGCGGAGGAGGCGAGGAAGCGGCUUGAGGCCGAGGACGCCGCGCGCGGGGCCGACGUGACCCGCCUUCUGGACCCGAAGCGGCAGGACGCAGGCGCGGCGCAGGCGGCCGUCGCGCCGUACCACGGGGACAUCGACCGGUACCUCCGGUCGUUGGAGGUCGAACCAUUGAGGAGGCCAAGCCCUGACUAUUUUCAGAAGAUCCAGAAAGACAUCUCCCCCAAAAUGAGGGCAAGUGUCCUUGUGGACUGGUUGGUAGAGGUGGCUGGCGAAUUCAAGCUUCACGCAGAAACUCUUUACCUUGCCGUUUCAUAUGUCGACCGCUUCCUCACAGUGAAUGUUGUUACUCGGGACAAGCUGCAGCUGCUGGGUGUCACUGCACUGCGCGUUGCUGCCAAGUAUGAAGAAAUUGAGUCUUCUAAGAUGAAGGUGAACAGAUACACUGACAUUACGGACCACACUUACACCAAGCAGCAAGUGGUGAAGAUGGAGGCUGACUUGCUGAAAUCUUUUAACUUUCAGAUUGGGGGUCCCACCGUAACAACAUUUCUAAGGCUGACUUGCUCCAAUCUUUUAACUUUCAGAUUGGAGGCGCUUCAUAGCUUCGUGUCGUGGAGGCAAUCGCAUAAGCAGCAAAAAACUGGAGUCCAUGUGUAGCUAUCUCGUAGAAUUGAGCUUGCUGGACUACGACUGCAUAAUCUAUCUACCAUCAGUUGUCGCUGCUGCCUGCCUUUUUGUAGCCAGGUUCAUAAUCCGCCCAAAGACUCAUCCUUGGUGUGCAUGAAUCUCCAGAACUUGAUGCUUCAACAUAACACGGGGUAUAAAGUCUCUGACUUGCAGAAAUCCAUUUUCAUCAUACAUGAACUGCAGUUGAGCAUACGGUGCCCAGACCAGAAAGCAAUCAGAGAGAAGUACGAGGACCUAAAGUUCGAGUGUGUGUCGAAAAUGGCAUCACCACGAGAAAUCCCUGCGUCUUUCUUUGAAGACUGCAAUAAGUGAGGUCUGAAGACCGGAGAAUGUUUUUGCAUUAACUCUGCAGGUGAUGCAGAAGGUAUUUUGGUUGCAGGCUAAUUUAAAUUGGUCAAGAAAUGUGUCAUAUGUGUCCGUCCCAAACAUGUAAAUAGCUGCUACUAGUCUUACCGAUAUUGUCCUAUUGGCAAUGCUGUGCAUUGGGAUUUUUUUUUUGAUACCUGUGCAUUGGGAUUUUGGUACACGUCCAUCAAAGCUUUUUUUGUACAGAGGUUAGCACCGAGUCAAUGAUAGAUGGCAUGGAAACGGUAUAAAGCAAGCCACCCUAUUUCUUGGCAUUGCCUGCA